UGAAUUCUUUCCUUCUCAUCGAUGUGUUCGAUACAUUUCUUACUUCCUUAUAUCCGAUCAAUCCAUGCAACCUAAUCAACAAUUCAUUUGACGUACUCAAGACUGGACCAAUGUACCAAUAAAAUUCAUGAAAGAGUUCAUAUAUAAACAAUAGAUAUUUCCUUUGAAGGUACAGACGUAAAUAUUCAUAUUCAGAACACACUUUCUAUACCAGCUUAUUCUUUCUCUAUAUCUCUUUAAUUUAUUAUAUUCGGUCGGUUCACAACCUUAUUAUACUUUACCACAUAAUCUAUAAUAACCUUAUUUCUAAUUGACUUUACUAAUUUCG
rnacentral:lncRNA from 1 species